rnacentral:rRNA from 1 species
GACGAACGCUGGCGGCGUGCUUAACACAUGCAAGUCGAGCGGUAAGGCCCUUUCGGGGGUACACGAGCGGCGAACGGGUGAGUAACACGUGGGUGACCUGCCCUCAGCUCUGGGAGUAAGCCCGGGAAACUGGGUCUAAUACCGGAUAUGACUUCAUGACGCAUGUUGUGGAGUGGAAAGCCUUGUGCGGCUGAGGAUGGGCCCGCGGCCUAUCAGCUUGUUGGUGGGGUG